UACGAAGGGGGCUAGCGUUGUUCGGAAUUACUGGGCGUAAAGGGCGCGUAGGCGGUGUGUCAAGUCAGGCGUGAAAGCCCCGGGCUCAACCUGGGAACAGCGCUUGAGACUGGCACGCUCGAGUUCGGGAGAGGAUGGUGGAAUUCCCAGUGUAGAGGUGAAAAUUCGUAGAUAUUGGGAAGAACACCGAUGGCGAAGGCAGCCAUCUGGACCGACACUGACGCUGAGGCGCGAAAAGCGUGGGGAGCAAACAGGG
rnacentral:rRNA from 1 species